UAAGGGCGCACGGUGGAUGCCUUGGCACUAGAAGCCGAUGAAGGACGUUACUAACGACGAUAUGCUUUGGGGAGCUGUAAGUAAGCUUUGAUCCAGAGAUUUCCGAAUGGGGAAACCCAGCAUGAGUUAUGUCAUGUUAUCGAUAUGUGAAUACAUAGCAUAUCAGAAGGCACACCCGGAGAACUGAAACAUCUUAGUACCCGGAGGAAGAGAAAGAAAAUUCGAUUCCCUUAGUAGCGGCGAGCGAAACGGGAAGAGCCCAAACCAACAAGCUUGCUUGUUGGGGUUGUAGGACACUCUAUACGGAGUUACAAAGGACGACAUUAGACGAAUCAUCUGGAAAGAUGAAUCAAAGAAGGUAAUAAUCCUGUAGUCGAAAAUGUUGUCUCUCUUGAGUGGAUCCUGAGUACGACGGAGCACGUGAAAUUCCGUCGGAAUCUGGGAGGACCAUCUCCUAAGGCUAAAUACUCUCUAGUGACCGAUAGUGAACCAGUACCGUGAGGGAAA
rnacentral:rRNA from 1 species